rnacentral:rRNA from 1 species
GUUUACAGCCAGACCAGCCUGGGUACGCCCGAUCUCGUCUGAUCUCGAGAAGCUAAGCAGGAUUGGGCCUGGUUAGUACUGGGAUGGGAGACCGCCUUGGAAUACCAGGUGCUGUAAGCU